ensembl:miRNA
GGGGCUGUAUCAUAACCAGGCUGUGAGCUGCAUGGAGCAUGGGUAUGAUACGACCUCA